UAUAUUUUAACUCAAAAGUACAGUUUUUAAAUUUAACCCUAACCCUUGUGCGUGUUUUUUAUUUUGACAGCGAAUGCGCACCUGCGGACCACUUAUGUGCAGCCCUGGUUAUUUAGCUCGUCAUAUCGCAGCCACAGAAAUUCUUUUGUCCAUGAAACCAUAAAGCUGCACUUUCUUUUUGCCUUAUAGUCUGAUUUGUCAUAACUUCUCCGUUUUGUGGUAAGCUUUUCUUUGGCUGUCACUUCUUCACCCUGACCUGUCUUAUUUGGCUCAGCAGAACUGAAAUAUAUAUCCUGCUGCUUUUACACACACACACACCGGUCAGCGAUUCUCUGCGCGAUCAACCUCUCACAUGUUUAAGCUGCGGGAGAUUUCACUUGUCAUGUUUGCAUAGUAAGCUAACGAUUAAUAAGACGAUGUCAGAGGAAUUGGUGCGCAAAUUAUCAUCACUCACAGAUCAGUACUGUCGCUCUCUAUACACAGUUCGCACGAUUGCAAAGUGAAAGCAAAAAAACGAGCGCAAAUUCAAACGCGACUUCAAUAUGUCACAUAUUGACAGUGGCUCACCGAUGCCAAUGACAUAAUUACCCAGCUACAUUUCUGAAAUAAUGCAAAAGCAUUGACAUAUAUUUUUCCUACAAUAGCCCGACGGGCAGGGCAGAGAUAGAUUUUGGUAGCCCGACUGAAAAAAUCGCUAGCUCCGGGACGUCGGGCUAGCGAUAUUGCAAGCCCUGUAUCUGAUUGAGGAAUCACUCAUCUUUGGAAAAGAGAGUUUAUUACAGAGAAAUGGCUCUUUCCAAAAUAAAAGCUAUACUAUCCGCUUCUUCUGGGCUAUAUUCUCAGCAGCAUAAGGAGAAUCAUGUGCUAACAGCUGUCUAAAUGACUCAGCUAAAGUUAGUAGCAUGCUUGCUUUUUUUUGUCUGCUUCCACUUGUCUUUGCACUAGGAUGAUGUCGGCGUAAAUGUGCAGUCAUAUUCGUUGUGUUCCCACUAGUGCUUUCAGGUUAAUCUCGUUGAAAUGACCUUAACGCCACAACACGGCAAAUCUCCAUUAACGAGCUACCGCCGAUUGCUCCGUGCAUGGGGCUAGACGGCCAACACGUUAACGAGCUAACUGCGCUAGCACACUAGUUCACACCAAUGUAAUUGAGCAUUGCAUGGCACAUCCAACAUACUGUUUUACUUUAGUCCAUGACUCGCUUACCUUCAGGGUCAUACGUCACAUGAAAACCAAAAUAAUUCCAAACGCCAGAUCUGAAUGAGGGUGGGGAGGUCCACUUCUGUCUCGCUAGCUUGCCCUGCGCUCUUCCUUCUGACUAUGCUGUCUGUGUUGAGCGCUCAGUGGAUCUGCGCUGGACAGUGCAGCCUAGGCGGAGUAGUCGAACACAGAUUCACUGAGCGCUCAACACAGACAGCAUCGUCAGAAGGAAAAUUGAUAAAAUAAAUUACAAAUGUUGUAUUGUUCGAUACAUAUGCGUACCGAACCGAAAGCACUGUAUCGAACGGUUCAAUAUCGAUACGAAUAUCGUUGCACCCCUAAUAUAUAGUUAUAGUAAACUGCUACACAUCUGAGAGUGGCCUCUGUCUGGUUGUGAGCGUUAGUGGGUGAGGUGAGAGGUGACACAGAGUGCCAAUUGAGGUCAGGACACACACACACAUACACACUGUAGGUAGGCUUAUGUUCUAGGUGAGAGUUCAGACAUAUUUUGCUUGUAACUGCAUUUUUGUGCGUGCAGAAUUUCUAGUUUGUUGCAGAGCAUGGCCCGAGGUUUUGGAGAAGCGAGAGCGAGCUACCGGAAGCACCUGGCGUGGAGGCGAAGAAGAUGCUCUUUCAAACAGUGUUAAAGUCGUUAACGGAGCAUUUGUGGUUUUGAAACUUAUGCAUGUGAUGAUGCAUGAGGGGGCGUCAUAAAAUUAAACCCUGAUGGUAUAAAACAACUGCUUGUGUAUUGUUAGGGAGAUCGAUGCUGUCUGAGUACAGUGUUCAUCUCCCACACGUGUGUUCAUUAAAAUCAUCAUUUGACUCCA
ensembl:lncRNA